GGGCCCUGGCACACGCGUAAAGCGGCACAUCUGAUGAUAACGUUUCUGUGAGCCAAGAUGCCUCGGGUGUUGAUGCGAGCAGACACCAUCAGUGCAGACCCUGAGGAAGAUUUUGAUGUUCUAGACUUCCACGAGGAUGCAGAAUCUCCACUUCCAACCCCUGAUCCAACCUCAAUACAUGUACCUACUGGAGUGAGGAGGAAGAAACAAGAAGGUA